rnacentral:rRNA from 1 species
UACAGAGGGGGCAAGCGUUGUUCGGAAUUACUGGGCGUAAAGGGCGCGUAGGCGGCCUUCUAAGUCGAACGUGAAAUCCCCGGGCUCAACCCGGGAACUGCGUCCGAUACUGGAAGGCUUGAAUCCGGGAGAGGGAUGCGGAAUUCCAGGUGUAGCGGUGAAAUGCGUAGAUAUCUGGAGGAACACCGGUGGCGAAGGCGGCAUCCUGGACCGGCAUUGACGCUGAGAAGCGAAAGCAUGGGGAGCGAACAGG